UGUUCCCUCUGCCUGGUUCUGCUUCCUCCACUGUGAGAGCCUUCCCCUGUAAACUUCCUGCAAGCCGAAGUCUCUGUCGGAGUCUGUUUCCCAGUGCACCCAACUUGUGAUAGAAGGAGAGGCGCCCUGAAUUCCAUGCCGGGUCAUUACAGAGCCAGUGGCAGAGACUCUACGAGACCCAGCCCCACUGGCUGCAGCCCCUUCGGAUGCAUCUGCGAGAGCAGCCUGGCCGUCACCCGCCGGCCUGGCCCGUGCUGUCAGCCGGCCAGAGCGUGUCUGAAUCGAGGAAAGCUGACUGGGGCUCGAUUCACACUGACUCGAGCCGCAAGGCGAGUUUAUGGUUCUUGAUUACACCCAGCAGGGAGGCCUUCUUAGUGAUGAGAGAGAAAAUAUUCAACAACCUGUCUUUGCAAUGUGCUGAUCUCUUGGAGAGAGAGAGAGAGAGUGCAGAGAAAGUGGAGGAGGGGUUUCAAAGGAGGGUGAUUUAUGAGUGGAAAGAAGGCUUUUUAAAAAAAAUCCAGGGCUCCCCCAAACUGUCUCAACAUUUCCUCUUUCUCAUCGUUGGGUUUUGCCUUGGUAUAACUUUGAGGCACAGUGAUUGCAUCCCUGUGGGUUUCUGCAAGCUGGUGCAAAGCUUAAAAGGAUGCAGGCCCGGAAGGCACUAUAGUCCAUCCAGCCUUCACUCAGCAUUGCCUCGCAGCUGGGAGAGGUCCUGGACAGUGCUGCCUGCAGAGGCUCCGUGCAGCCCAAUCCCCAAGCCCUUCUCUCCUUCACAGCCCUUUUCACAUUCUGCUUCAUACUUAAACUGCAUCUGCUUGCACUCGGCACCCAAACACGGUGCCUGGCUCAUGCUCGGUGUUAAUAAAUGAACAAAUGUGUGAA